GAUGAAGAACGUAGCGAAAUGCGAUAAUUAAUGUGAAUUGCAGAAUUCCGUGAAUCAUCGAGUCUUUGAACGCACAUUGCACCUCAUGGCAUUCCGUGAGGCAUGCCCAUCUCAGCGUUAGAAAAUAUUCUCAAAUUUUAGUUUUGUGCUAAAAUUUGGAUCAUGUCAAGGAAGCUAUUACUAUUAUUGUGAUCGCUCUUUGGAAAUUGAUAGGUCUUUGAGUUGCUACUCAUAGAACGUGAUGAAUCUUUCUUCGUUCUAUUGUAAUUCACUCUGGUAGUCCUAAAACUUGUAUGCCUGUGGCAUAUCUUGUAAUUUGACCUGAGAUUGGGUAGGGAUACCCGCUGAACUUAAGCAUAUCAAUAAGCGGAGGA
rnacentral:misc_RNA from 1 species